AUCCAGUUGAUGAGUCUUAAAUAGGACGAAACCAGUGUCCUGGAU
rnacentral:hammerhead_ribozyme from 1 species